rnacentral:ribozyme from 15 species
CAUGCAGUAACUGAAAGAAUGAAUAAAAAGAAAAAAAAACAACAAAAAAUGAAAGGUCAUGAUGCUAUCGUCUUCUUAUUCUUCAU